UGGGGAAUAUUGCGCAAUGGGCGAAAGCCUGACGCAGCAACGCCGCGUGGGUGAAGAAGGCCUUCGGGUUGUAAAGCCCUUUCGGCCGGGAAGAAGGUGUAUUUGGUGAACAGCCUAGUACAUUGAUGGUACCGGAGGAAGAAGCACCGGCAAACUUCGUGCCAGCAGCCGCGGUAAUACGAAGGGUGCGAGCGUUGUUCGGAAUUAUUGGGCGUAAAGGGUUCGUAGGCGGGUCUGUAAGUUGAGUGUGAAAACCCUGGGCUUAACCUGGGACGUGCACUCAAAACUGCGGAUCUUGAGUGUUGGAGAGGGUGGUGGAAUUGCUGGUGUAGGAGUGACAUCCGUAGAGAUCAGCAGGAACGCCGGAGGCGAAAGCGACCGCCUGGCCAAACACUGACGC
rnacentral:rRNA from 1 species